UGGGAGGGGGUAGAGGAGGAAGAAUGACACAGAAAUGCACUCCUCUGGCAGUGCGCAGACGCAGUGCACACAGUCACGCCAUACUAGCACUCUCUGCACCCCGGCAAUCAGCUACAGAAAAGAGCAUUAAAAAUAAGGAAACGAAAAAAAGAGAACGUACAAACAGUCAGAGUGGACUGCCCUGCAUAAGGACAUUUGAAAUAUGCAACAGUUCUGAGAGCAGGUUAAAUGAUUAACCUUAUCUGGUACAGUACAGUACAGUACUGCAGCUCUCCCUCUCGUCAAGCUGCAACAGUCUGUUUGGAUCACAUGCUACAGCCAGCCACGGCUCAGACAGAAAGUAUGAACUCUAGCAUGCCUGCCACAGCAGCUAGCGUGAAAGCAGCAUUGAGAAGACAAAGAGCAUAUAUGGAAAAAUGGGAGCUACUUGAGUAUAAUACUGUAGUGUAGCACGUGGCAGGGUAGAGAGCAGGGUUAGUAGAGUUACAGCACAGUAAGACGGUCCUCUUUCUGCCCUGGCUCUGCUUCUCCGAGGGGCAAAACAUCGCACGACCCUUACAGCAAAUCUUGGCAAGGAGUCAAAAGCCUGAUAAGCGUUUUGGGUGAGACCUCACUGCUUUUCUGGAAGAAAAACAGCUGCUGUGAUUACAACGUGAUUGAGAAUUCACAGAAAACACGAGUGGUUCUGAUUUGUCCUGGCUAAAAAGGCACAGGAUAGCUUGUCCAAAUAGGAAAAGAUUGUUGAGUAUAUUUGCUUCUAAACUAUCCCUUACCCUGGAAUCAUCUAGAAUCCUGCAUUGUCGGGUGCUCCACCCGCCCUACACCCUGCCGUUUGCGCGUGCGCACACGCACACACACACACGCUACAAAACAGCACGGCAGACCAGUCCUCCACCAUCUUAGUACAUACCGAUUAUCAUUUUGAUUUUCGUUUUUUUUUUUCUAUCUCUGUCUUUUUCAUACUUCCUCUUUCCCUCCCUCUCUCUGUCCCACCACCUUCUCCACCGUGCGACCAGCGUUGGGCUUUUCCCAUUUGUGGCAGAUUACUAUAACACUAUUGUAAAACAACUUCCUGCCUCUUUUGGCUCUGGUUCCAAAUAACGGCAAAGGCUGGGCUCACACGCUUGAACUUUUCCCCCCCUCUCUGUCCCGAAGUAUCAGGAGCUCUAAAUAGGAAAGAGAGAAAAUGGGAAAAACGGUAAAAUCUCUGCACGUCUCCUGUUCUGGACUUAUUUUGAUGCCUUAUGUCUUUAAUGCCAGAUGAAAAGUAUAGCAGGGGAUUGCAUGCCUAGCAGAGAAAAAGGAAUAUAAUCUCCAAGGCCUCUCUAAAGCUGGAUGAAUUGGUGCCUUUCAAAAGGCUGAUUUGAGGACCUUUUUCACUGAAUAAUAUGUUAGUUUUCUAUGAUUUUGUUUUGCUUUCAUGUAUUGAUAUGAAUAUUGAUGUGUAUUCAUGUGUAUUGAUGUGUAUACAGGGCUCAUCUGUAAAAUAGACUUUGGUCUCAGCAUUACUCUCUGUCAAAAUGAAGGCUUAAAUAAAAAGUCUUGAAACUAAAUGGACAUUGUUUCAUUUCAUUGGGUGUCCAUACUAUGCAAUCACUCAUAAUGUCAUGCUAACAUUUUCUGCUGAAAAACAAAUACAAAAUGUGAAUAUUAUGGGUCUGAGUAAAAUAUGGUGAUGGUGAUGUUUAAAAAUGAGACGGGUAUGUGCUUUACAUGUUUACACUUGAAUAUUAUACAACAUUAAAGAAAAGUGCAAUUGUGAAAUAUUUCCCUUCACCGACACCCCUGAAGUGUAACUUUAAAAAAUAUAUAUUUUCACAACUAAUUCAAUGACUUCUGGAUGUUUU